rnacentral:rRNA from 1 species
UGGGCGCAAGCCUGACGGAGCAACGCCGCGUGAGUGAGGACGGCCUUCGGGUUGUAAAACUCUGUUCUUGAGGAAGAACCCUUCCGAGGCGAAUAACCUCGGAAGUUGACGGUACUCAAGGAGAAAGCCCCGGCUAACUACGUGCCAGCAGCCGCGGUAAUACGUAGGGGGCGAGCGUUAUCCGGAAUUAUUGGGCGUAAAGCGCGCGCAGGCGGUCGAUUAAGUCAGGUGUGAAAGGCUGCGGCUCAACCGCAGAGCGGCACCUGAAACUGGUCGACUUGAGUGCAGGAGAGGGGAGUGGAAUUCCCGGUGUAGCGGUGGAAUGCGUAGAGAUCGGGAGGAACACCAGUGGCGAAGGCGGCUCUCUGGCCUGUAACUGACGCUGAGGCGCGAAAGCGUGGGGAGCAAACAGGAUUAGAUACCCUGGUAGUCCACGCCGUAAACGAUGAGUGCUAGGNUGUUGGGGGGUUCCCCCCCUCAGUGCCGAAGGUAACCCAUUAAGCACUCCGCCUGGGGAGUACGGCCGCAAGGCUGAAACUCAAAUGAAUUGACGGGGAAUCACUAGUGAAUUCGCGGCCGCCUGCAGGUCGACCAUAUGGGAGAGCUCCCAACGCGUUGGAUGCAUAGCUUGAGUAUUCUAUAGNGGNCNCCUAAAUA